rnacentral:rRNA from 1 species
GAUGAACGCUAGCUACAGGCUUAACACAUGCAAGUCGCGGGGCAGCAUUUCCUUAGCUUGCUAAGGAAGAUGGCGACCGGCGCACGGGUGAGUAACGCGUAUCCAACCUUCCCAUGUCCACGGGAUAGCCCGUCGAAAGGCGGAUUAAUACCGUAUGAGGUCACAUGCGGGCAUCUAAGUGUGACGAAAGGUUUUGCGGACAUGGAUGGGGAUGCGUCCGAUUAGCUGGUUGGCGGGGUAACGGCCCACCAAGGCGACGAUCGGUAGGGGUUCUGAGAGGAAGGUCCCCCCACAUUGGAACUGAGACACGGUCCAAACUCCUACGGGGAGGCAGCAGUGAGGAAUAUUGGUCAAUGGACGUAAGUCUGAACCAGCCAAGUAGCGUGCAGGAUGACGGCCCUAUGGGUUGUAAACUGCUUUUAUGCGGGGAUAAAGUGUGGGACGUGUCCCAUAUUGUAGGUACCGCAUGAAUAGGACCGGCUAAUUCCGUG